UCCUGCUCUAUUUUGUUGCUGUGUGACAGAUGGCAGCAGAGGAGCAGUCCGACAAAAUGGCGUCUGACAUGGAAUUGCUUAUGGAGCAAAGGUGUAUCAUUGAAAUCCUCCAUGUAGAAAAAAUUGCACCCAUUGGCAUUUGCUGAUGCUUGCUGAACGUUUCUGGAGACCAAACAGUGGCUGUGAGCACAGUGAGGGGUGAGUGGUGCACCCCAGAAUUGGCGACAGUGACUGUGAGUCGCCUCCAUUGGUGCCUAUUUUUAUGAGCACAGCAUGCAGCCUCCUGUUCAUCGAUGAAAAAGAUGCACGACCAAUGGUGGUUACUGUGUUGAAAAAUAGUGUUUUGUAGCUGAGAAUUUGCUCUAUCAAAUACUGUUCUUGUACUUUUCAUAGCUGUUGUCAUUUCCAUGACAAUGUAAACAGGAGGCGUCACUUUCAGAGCAACCUACGUACAUGACAGCUCUGAUUUGUGUGCCAGCCUUCCCUACAGGGCAAUGGAGAGUAUCAGGGAUCAUGGCUGGGGAUGCUUGUCUGUGCAUGAUUAUGGUGAAUUCUGAUGUUCUGAGUAAGCUGGUGGACACUGAUCUCUGAAUCACCACGGGUUUACUUGCCCAACCACAUUUUGCUCCUGGCUCCUCCUCCUGAUCCUCCAGCUGCUCCUCCCAGUCUGGUUUGGCUGCUCUCUCAUUUUUGCAGCCUGCUCCCUUUCCUCACACCUCUUUCUCCUCCCUGCAUCUGCCCUGCAGCUGGGUGGCUUCAUGUUCUGUCAUGCAAGGGUGGGAGCACAACAAAACCUCCACCCAAUGAGUCCACGGCUUUGCUGUGUGCAGCCUCCUGCCAGCAUCUGUGCUGAUGGGUCCCAGGACUGUGAUUUCAUCCUGCAUCCAGCUUUACAGGAUUAGAAUCAUUAUAGUUGAAAAGACCACCAAGAUCAUCUAGUCUAACCAUCAACCUAUCACCACCCUAGCAAUAAACCAUAUCCCUCAGUUGACCUCUGCUCUUUUCUUAAAAACCUCUGUGGAUUCUUUUAGCCGUUUACGAUGUCACUGGAUGAAGAGGUGUUGGACCUCCUCAUGAGAUGCUGCACGAUGGUAGGUGUGCUGGUAUUGCUUACAGAAAAAGAGAGCUUUUAUUUUUCUUACGUGCCUUAAUGAUGAACUUCUUUUGCAGUCAAUGAUGUUUGUAUUCAGGAGACUAAAAUCCUCUCUUCUAACUGACAUAUUUUGUAUAUAAAAACUGAUAAGUGAUGGAAAGAUGGAAUAGAGGAAAACUCGAGUACUUUAUGUUUGGUGGACUAUACCAUAUGUUUUCAAAAUUUCUAGAAGUGAAAAGAAUGCAAAUUCCAUUAUAAAGACUGCACAAGGGCACUCAGUUUUGGAGCAGCAGCAUUGGAAGCGUCAGGACUGCCUUGGGCCACGCAGUCUCCCUGGAGGAUGUGCUGCUGAGGUGGAGACAGGCCUGAGGGCAAUACAGACAAUGAAUAUGUUAAUUAGUUAUUAGGAGAAGGCGGAGCUUUGUUUAAAAAAAGACCCUGGAGGUCUCAGGGAAGUCAUUGUCCUAGUGGGCUCUGCUCUUCUAUGAAGCAUGCUCUGGUGAGCCGUGGCCAAGCUGGCUGCUCUCCAUGGGCUCUCCCAGCAAGCUGUAGGAGGAGGCAGGAGGACUGACAGAAGCCUGGUGCAGACAAACUGCAAGCACAUUAAUUAUUGACUGUGUUAGUUGAUGAGUUGUGCUGAAUUGAUCUGGUACAAGAUAAUGUGAAUUAAAAGCUGCUUAAAUAUUUUAUUCAGGGCUUUUUGGCUACGGCAGGCAUUUGAAUGAAAGAUAACGUGUGAUUCAUGACUGGAAUCGGCUUCUCAAUAAAGACAAGCUAUUAGAAUGAGAGGUACUAUCUAAAUGUAAAUUAUGAUUUAUUAGAGGGGAAAUCUCUUGUGUGUAAAAUUUUAAUGAAAGAUUAGAAAGCUUUCUAGAUUGAAUUAUCUAAAUAUAUGAUAGCCAUUUUCAAGUUAUUCGUUCAGUCUUGGCAAUACUAACACCAAAGGCUGGUAUGCCUCCCUGGUUGGCUUAGGUGCUGCAGCUCCCAGGAAAUUCCUGCCUGGUUUCUCCCAGCCUCUCCACAGAGACAUCCUCAAUGCAAAGCAGACCUGAUCCUGAUGCAAAAAUGUUUUCUAUUUCAGCUUUUAGGGCAUACAGGCUUCGAUGAGAGUAGCAGGCUGCUGCCUGCUGCAGUUUCUGCCUCCCCUUCUAUCUUGCUUCAUUCCUCCAUGUACCAGAGAAGGCUUUGGCAGCUGGGGGUGUUAGCCUCAUUUUUCUCACCCUUCAGAAAAGCUGUCCUCUGUUCAACGUGCGCAUUCCUUCCUCCAGAGCCAUUUUCCUCCAUGGGCUCUCUGGGCUGGCCAGCGGCCAAACAGUAGGGUGAGCUGCAUGAGAAGGCCUUGAUCACUGGCUGUCUUACAAUUUUUCACUUGUAUUCAAGAUGCAGAUGGAUGUCAUUAGGAAGGUUUUUACUUUGAAUGUGCACAGCUUGUCCACAUGCCUGAGCUUAGAGCUCAGUACUUGUAUAGUACUUAUAUAUGUGCUUUUCAUCCUCAAAAGGGCUCUGCAAGCUCGAGUCCUCAGAACAGUUCUGUGAGGUGGGUGUGUGCAUUUUGUAAUGAGCUUCAUAACAAGGAGGGACGCAGGUCAGGGUUUCUUUCAAAGAUACGUUGUGCAGUGAGCGUUAUAAAGGAAGAAAAUCCUUGCACUUCCCUGGGGUUCCUCUCUGAUGUUCUGUCUGAAAAUCACAUGGUUUCACCGUGGGAGCAUGUCUCUCCAUAUGGAAGAUGUGAUUAGUGGCAUCAAAAAUUAAGAUGUGUCUCAGGUAACAGUAGUACUAGGUAAAUAUAUAGCAUUUCUAAAAGUUGUGAGGCCAGGUUUCCUACUGUACUGAGCUUCAGUUCACACAGAAGAGCAGGAGCCAAAGGGCAUCAUCAAAGAGACCCAAGUCUGAUGGAAGAUCUGGAGCUUCUUCACGUCAUACUUCUAAACGGAGGGAAAUGAUAUUAUGAAGAGGGGUAAAAAUUGCUUGUCUUCUCAGGUGAAAGGACAAGGCAGGAUUAAUUUUUUUUUUCCAUUUGAACUGUAGGAUUAAAAUUCAAGUAGCUACAGUAACAGCAACAGCCCCAGUGUGAACUCAGCUCUAUCAAAAGUUUUUGUAAUGUUGCAUCUCAUCUAAGCGAGGGGGCUGGAAUAAUCUAUAGCUAUGGCAGGCAUUUUUGAAAUUUUGCAUUCUGUCUGAGUUGUUACUGGCAUGACUACUUUGGCAUGCUUUACCUUGCACAGGCGAGCCAGUAAAUGCUUCAAGUGUCAUCCAGCAGGAAAAAAUCUGGCUAGGGAUGAGAUCAUAUUGUGAGAUAUGGUUCCUAAACUAGAUCAGUGAGCUCUGGAAGAGGGUUUAAUAACCAGCAUUAGGGGUUUUUGCACCCUCUGUGUGCCUCAGAACAUGCAUAGGUAUCUGGAGGAAAUAGGUUUAGAAAUCAGUAGCUACCUUACCCCAAUAAGGAAUUAUAAUAAGAGAUGGAGUGGCACUUGUCCUGAAUAAACAAGCGGGAGACUGUAAGAAAAAGGAUCUGCUUUAUAGACCUGCACCUCCUUCAUGCUUUCUGGGCAAAUAGACUGAGAAUAGCCUGUCUACUUGAAGUCAUAAGAAGGAUGAGUUAAAGAUAGAUAGGUUAAAGCAAGCAUUUAUUUUAAUAUUGCUCCAGUUUCCCUCUUUUAAAAAUGUAAUUAUGUUCAGUCAUGACAGGACUCUGCAUCUUCUCAGAAAGAUGUUGAGAACUAGUUAAUGAGCAACCUAGCAUGGCAGUGAUGCUCACCUUCACCUGCUGCAUACAGCAGGGUGGAGAAGUGGAACAGAGUAAACUAAUCAUGGUUUUUUAACCCCAAAAGGGUGGUUUUUUUUUUUUUUUUUUUUUUUUUUUUUUUUUAAGAGAAUUCUGGGUUCAGGUAUUAUCUUCCUCUUGCUGCUCUGGGGAGGGUAUCUGGCCCCAGAAAUUACUCUGGAGAAAUAGGAAAUGCAACCUAUUUUCUGGUUUUCUAAACAUUAUGCAGUUUCAGAUGAAUUCAUGGGAAUGAUGGGCAGAAAAAGUCUUAGAGAAUUGCUGUUUGAUGAAUUACAAGUUAUCACUUUUUUAUGGAUUCCACAUCCAAAGCCUUUAAUGUUGGCUACCCUACUCUGCUUAAUAAUUUUUUAAGUGAGUACAUCUGGGCCAAUUAAGCAUUUUCACUUGCCCUUAAAUGUUACAAAUGCCUGCUAGAGUUGGAAGACUGUGAUUUAAGCUCAAACAUCUGGGGGACAGAAAUGCUCUACCAGGCCUAUUCAGUCCUAUGUUAUUUUGAUGACAGAAUGCACGUAUGCUCAUUGCAAAACCAUUUGAGUUUUAAAUUGGUGCCUUAUAGCUAUGCAGUGCUCUGGAUGCACCCAGCACUUCUAUUCCUCUUUAAAUCUCAUCAUAACCAAGAGUUACAAGCACUGCGGCGUGAGUUCACUUUACCUGUGGACCACUGCCCUUUAUUAUUUCCCACAAGACUGUCUUUGGAAGCAUCAGCUUUAGCUCCCACUAAAUGAAAUGCAGCUCGACUCCUGCCUACAUCGGUCUUUCAGGAUCUAACCACAGUAGAGAAACACUUUCCCUUGCUUCAGCGUUGCCCUCCGAGUUAAAAUUAGCUGAGUAUCUGCACCAUUCCUGCUGGUAUCAAAAAAAUGUGUAAUGCUAUUGCUUGAAGGGCCCCUCUUUGCAUUUUGGAGACGUGCUGAUGUGUGUUUUAACCUAUUGUAUUUACAUUGCCCGGGAGUAUCAGCCCGCUGUCUGGUUCACGUUCACGUGUGUGGAGAGUGGGAUCCUUACUAAAAUUGCGUCAGUGAGGAGCAGAGGUUAAGAGUGAUAAGUAGUUCAAAGAAAGUCUAUUUGCAUGCAACAAAAUAUCUGUGUGAAUACUUAACUUCAGGAGGGCUGGUGUUAUUUCUGAAGCGCAGAGGACCAAGGCAAAUAAAUUGAAGAUGAAACUUUCUCUUGUACUUCAUUUCUUUUCCUCCAUGGUAAGAAGAUUCUGCUUUAUCCUGAGUGCAAGAGUAAUGCUAAGGCUUCAGGCAAAAUUAUAAGCUACUUGCAUCCAUGGAAUGAAGUUGCAGAGCUAGCUUCAACCUGGGGACUUAUCAUUUCAUGAGCUGUUGCGUUGCUAACAAGACACAGACAUUGCCGUUGGACAAACAAGGGCAAGAUUGUUUCUCUGUUUGUUCUGCAGCCCUUCUCAGCCGCACUGCUGAGCAUGACUUAGAGAGAACUCUCUUUCUGGAAGGUUCAAACAGUUCAGUAUUUUUUGCUGGAGGGGGCAUAGCCAUCCUCUGUUGCAACAUUAUGGAAGUUCCCAGCAACCCCAACGUGAACCAGAGCCAAGGAGCAGAUCCUGUGUUGUUUUAAACAGGCAGGAACCAGCUGAUCUCCUUGAAAUACAUGGGUUUUCAUUAGCUGAGGACCUGGAGAAAGGGUCCACCUGUGCCCUACCUCACAUGGAUGGGAUUGAAAACACACUGGAUUCCAGCCUCCACCCUGCAGCAUUUUAAGAGGAGGACACUCCUGAGGUAUGUCAAGACUUUCUUGUCCAAAGGACUAAAUACACUGUGCUGUCUCCAUUCCAGCUAGCUGGAGCUGAAGGAAGAGAAACACAAAUUCAACAUGGGUAAAUACACCAGGGUGUAUUUACUGUGGCUUUGUGCAGUGUUUUUGUCAUGCUGGUAAGAUGCCAAAAAGUCAGCAGUAUUUUAAGUUGCGUGAAAAAGGGAAAAAAGUCCCAGAAAAUAACUUCCCCAUGACAAAAUCUUUAAGGGUUCAUAUGUCUUUCAAGAUGUGCAUCUUCCAAAGCGUCCUUUUGGCUCCCCACAAAAAAGUAACCCUCAUCUCUACUACUACUUUUGUACAAUCGCUUCACUUCAGUUUCCAUUCUGACUUACAAAACACAUUCACAAGAUGUAUUUUCUUGGGUGCAGAUCUCCUGUUGGCAGCUUCCCCUGCAUGCAGCCAAAAUGUGAGAGGUGUUUAUUUAUUUAUUUUAUUAUUAUUUUUUAAUAACUUAUGUUCUGGAAAUCAGAAGUGAAGCGAGCGGCAGGUUAGCAUGUUUUUGCAAUAGCGGUAUAAUCAUCUUGGUGCUUAGCAUUUAAAGAGUAUUAUCUGCUUAACAAAUGGAAAAGAUUGUGAAAUGUAAACAAAAUAAUAGAAGGAAAGUAAUUAUUUAUUUCAAGUGUGCCUUAGAAACAGACCCUGGCAGUACAAGUAGCUCGUUGUAUGAACUUCUGCCCCAUGGUUAGUAACAAGUCACCUUUGCAGUGCUGCUUAUUUUUGUCAGCUCCUUCAUGUCUUUGUUUCCAUGUUAAUCAUGGAUUUCCUUCUUCAGAUGGAUGUAAUACUCCGGUUUGUCACUGUAUUUGUUCAGAGAAGGCUGGGAGUGGAAACAGGAAUCUCCGCAAGUUUUCUGCAAAAGAGACUCGUAGAAAGUCUUAAUUUUCACCACUGACAUCCGAUAAACAUGUUAUUUAGAAAACAAACUUGAUCAUAACAACAUUUUGAACCCUUUUCCAUCGUUGAAUAUGAAUGUUCUCAGUUAAUGGUUGCAGCACGGCACUCCGCAUGCAUGAGGGAAAUAUAUUGGUUUAAAAACAGAAGACUGAAAUGUAAGUUUGAACUUGAAUUUGUCCAGUGAUGAACACGUGAGUAAGAACAAAGUAUUUUGUCCUUAUUUUGGAUGCUACUUAAAUAUAAUAUUCGCAAAGCAGAUGAUGAUGAAUGUAUAAUUUGCAGAACUGUGGUAUAACAGAUUUCACCAGAUGAAAUCACUCCUAAUCUUUUACAGCGAGGGAGGUGAGGCACUGGAACAGGUUGCUUGGUGACGUGGUUGGUGCCCCAGCCAUGGAGACUGUCAAAGCCAGGCUGCAUCAGGCCCUGAGCAUCCUGAUCUAGCUGUGGUGCCGCUGUUCAUUGCAGGGCUGUUGGACUAGAUGCCCUCAGGUGUCCCUUUGAACUCUAAGGCUACUAUGACUCUAUGGUUGUAAUCCUGCCUGCAGCAGAUCGUGGAUGACUAAUUGACUGCAGUUUUAACCUGCAUCAAUCAGUAUAUGUCAUCUAUCCCAAAGAGACCUGGUUUUAGUCUGUUACUUUUCUUAGCAUGCAGCGGGUGCAAUUCAAAAAAUCAAGAUUUGCACCUCUCUCUUCUCCUGGGCAAACUGUUCUCAAGCCUACCAGCAAGGAAGAACUGAUUUAUGACUAUUAUUAAUAGCAUUAAUAUGAAACAACCUGAUAAUGACAAAAGAUGGUACUUAAUUGUCAGAAUAUUUUACACAAGUGGAAUUGCUACAACUGUUCUUUUUACAGGAUGAAAAGGCGAAAGGAAAUCCUGAAGACCACUCUUCAAGUGGAGGAAGCAGGACAGAAGACUCAUAAGCACGUCCUAACAGCACUUCCAUGACUGAGAGAUGAUGGAGACACGUGCAACGUGAUCACAAGGGUGCAUGAAACUUGCGUGAGCCUGUCUGAGCUUACUUCAGAAAUUCAGGCUUGACCUCUGAGAGUUCAUGCUAAUAUAUCUGGUGUUCAUUCAGUAUCCGGCAUAAUGGUCCGUGAUCCAUCGCUGUGCUCUCAAGGUGUUCCUGCAAGACAGAUUUCAGCCACCUUUCCCUUUGUAUAGGUUCCUUUACCUGUGAAUCUGAAUGCUGUGUGGACUGUGAAUUCCUCUCAGGAGACACUGUAAGUAUUUGGACUGCUAAUUUGUGCAGGUCCCUGAGCUACCUCUGCUAGGAUUAAGCUCACUAGUUAAAGCUGCUUUAGAUGGAUGCAGCUACAGAAAAGUUGAAUGAUAAAUAUUCCCAAGUGUAACCAAACAAACUGGCAAACUCUGAAUAGAUAUAUGAAAUACAUCAUAGUAGUCACAAACUCUCCUUGUUAGUCUCAAGAGGGAUAAAUUUUGUUUAGAGCCGCAGACCAGGCUCUCUUUUACAGCAUUUUGGAUUUUAUGCUGCCUUACAACUGCAAAAGGACAAUAAAGCAAUGGUAAAUGUUCAAAAAUUACUUUAGCAUGGACUGUGUUAACUCUCUGAUAUCUUUCUAUCCUACACCACAGGCAUACAGGGUAGUGGCUAUAUACUGUGCUCGUGCACUGGUGAUGUCUGGAUGAAGAUGAGACAUGUAGCUAUGGGAUGUUGUAAAAAAACAAAACAAAACAAAAAAAAAACAACAUCAGCCAUUCUUUUCAUGUUGUGAAAGAUAAUACAAAAUGGAGUUGGCAAUGGUAGUAAUCCCAUCCAUGUAUAAACCUCAAAAGAACAGAACAGUGUUCUAGGAAAUGUUGUCAUCCCAAAAAUCCAAGCAUAGAAGAUAAACCUGUUCAAAGGAGCCUGGUCUUCCCCUGGUAGUAGAGAUCAGCCAUCCUUGACUUAAAAUCCAAUAAAAUUGGAUUCUACUCAGUCCAAUAGGAACAGCUCUCGUUCUCAAUGUCAGACAUGGGGUGGUCCAUCAGAUGGACACCUUUGCAUUCCACCUACACAAAUGGUUAUGAAAGGAACUUCUUAGGUCUGCAGAGAAGCUGCCAGGUGAGAGCUGAGAAGCAAAUGGGAAGUUCUGCAUACCAGAACUCAUCUGUGUGAAUUUGCUAUAGCUGCCACACAGUCUUCAGAUGAUAAAAGAAAAUUUAAGAAAAUAAGACAAUUUACCCAGAGGAAGAAGAUGAAAGGAUAUCCAUGGGUUUGUAUCCUCACUGAUGGUACAUAUCUUACUGAAAUUAUAUGGUGUGUAUACAUUUAUAUAUUUACAUACAUAUGCUAUAUGUAUAUUUAACUAAAAAAGAAAUGCAAAAGGAAUGGCAAUCCUGAUACAGGUGUGUACUGCAAAACACUGAUCUACUGUUUAAGACAGAAAAUGGGAAAGAAUGAACAUGAAGGCUGCAAAAACAUAUGUGACAUUGUAAAUUGUACCUCACCAACGUUUGCAUGACAAGCAGGGCUUAGCCUAAAUGAUUAUUUGAUAUUUUUUCCUAUUCAGAUGCAAGAACUACUACAAUAUUGGCAAAAAACCAAACAUCAUGCGGGGCAGACUCGUAUCCACCAUAGAGAGCAUAAAAAAUGAGAAGCAUUUACAUAAUACUGUGUUGCUUACAGAAAACUAAAAAAAGAGUAAGCAGGUACAACAUGUUCUUAAAUGCUUUUGAAAAAGUGUUGGAUGUAUCUGAACGUAAUUUUCUAGCUUUCAUUCCUUGUCAUGUCUAACAAGUCUGUGGCAUGUGAUGGGCCUCUGACAUACACUGAUAGCCAUCAAGGUUUGUUACGCUAAUCAGAGCAGAAUCAGAGCACCCAAAAUCGUGUCAGCUGAGGCUGAGUAUCAUUGUGAAUCACAGGUACUCUACUAGCAGAUAGCACAACAGAAAUUAAUCGCAGUGCAACACUUCGCUUUAUGCUGUUAAAGGUAAUAGGUCUGGAAUUAAAACUAAUUGCAUAUUAAAAUGGAGUGGGUAGCUAUGUUUUGAUUUAGAGAUAGGAACACGUCAGGCAAGCUCGUCUGUAACAGGAGAUAUUCAGUGCCCUGAAGUGAUGAAGGAGAAGAGCCCAGGAGAGCAUUCCUUGCAUUCCUGUGGCACUCAGCAUAUACAUAUGCCCCACAAAAAAAGGAAAUCUUAGCGCUCUGGGUUGGUAAGGUGAGCUUCAGAAAAGCUGGCACUUUCAUGUAGCUGCAGGCUUGGCUAAUUUGAAGAAAUGAUACUCUCUGAUGAUGAAUAUGAGGAAUAUUUAAAACUGCUAUUUAUUUAUUUAUUUUUUUUUCAGGGCAAAGGGCAUUAUAUUUUCAGUCUGUUAGUUAAAAAGUGAAUUAAGAACUACUAGUUAGCAACCACUAGCAAGAUAUGGCUGGGAUGUGGAGCUCUAUUUAAGUCCUGUGGCCUGUCCAGAAUGAUCAGUAUUUGAUGCAACAAUACUUUGCUGACAUGUACGAGUAGGAUUAGCACAGAGAGUUAUCUUUGUUGAUGAACUAAAUUUCAAGAGGUUUAAAAGAAUACUGUUUGAAGACAUGGCCAGUAGGAGGGUCAUCUGUGUCUAAACGUGUAAGAUUUUGUCUCCUGAGACAUGUAAGGAAAAAAAAAAACAUUCUUCAUACUGAUGUCCAUAAUUUUCACAAAUAUGGAAAUAAAAAUAAACAUUACAAGACA